rfam:Hordeum vulgare subsp. vulgare, WGS project CAJW01000000 data, contig: morex_contig_2552807
AAUGUACUCUCUUCGUCCUAAAAUUAUUGUUUUAUGUUUGUUUAAAAAUAGAUGUAUCUAGAUACUAAAGCAUGACUAUAUACAUUCGUAUCUACACAAAUCUAAGGCAAUAAUUUUGGAAUGAAGGGAGUAGUUG